rnacentral:sRNA from 1 species
UCAACAAGGUAAGAUUUUUAAAGUGGUUCAUCUGUUAAUGAAAAGCUAAUUCUAGUCCAAUAAAAAAAAAUCAGAUGCCAAAAUCUAAGGUAGCAGUUUGCAUGAGUAGUAGAUCUAAUACAGUUUGGGACUUGAGUUUAGAGUCUGUCAACCAAAGCGCCAUUGAAGGUCAAGGAAAUUACCAGAAAAAUGAACAGUGAAAAAGAAAACGUGGAAAAAACUCUUGAAAGAGAUGAGAAAGAGACCCAGGCUAGUUCCAAUCAGGCCAUAGUUCCUCCUGGACCAAUCAACAGUAUCCGGACCAACAACAGCGUGAACGGGCCAAGUGCUGCUGUUGCACCUUUGGUUGAAGGCUAUCGGCAACCACAGUGUUAUAUCUGCAGAU